rnacentral:rRNA from 1 species
UACGGAGGAUGCAAGCGUUAUCCGGAAUGAUUGGGCGUAAAGCGUCCGCAGGUGGCAAUGUAAGUCUGCUGUCAAAGCGUCUGGCUCAACCAGAUAAAGGCAGUGGAAACUACAUAGCUAGAGUAAGGUAGGGGUAGAGGGAAUUCCUGGUGUAGCGGUGAAAUGCGUAGAGAUCAGGAAGAACACCGGUGGCGAAAGCGCUCUGCUGGACCUUAACUGACACUGAGGGACGAAAGCUAGGGGAGCGAACGGG